rnacentral:rRNA from 1 species
UGGGGAAUAUUGCACAAUGGGCGCAAGCCUGAUGCAGCCAUGCCGCGUGAGUGAAGAAGGUUUUCGGAUCGUAAAACUCUGUUGUUAGAGAAGAACAAGGACGUUAGUAACUGAACGUCCCUUGACGGUAUCUAACCAGAAAGCCACGGCUAACUACGUGCCAGCAGCCGCGGUAAUACGUAGGUGGCAAGCGUUGUCCGGAUUUAUUGGGCGUAAAGCGAGCGCAGGCGGUUGAUUGAGUCAGAUGUGAAAUCCCCGGGCUUAACCCGGGAAUUGCAUCUGAUACUGGGCAGCUAGAGUCUUGUAGAGGGGGGUAGAAUUCCAUGUGUAGCGGUGAAAUGCGUAGAGAUGUGGAGGAAUACCGGUGGCGAAGGCGGCCCCCUAGACAAAGAAUGACGCUCAGGUGCGAAAGCGUGGGGAGCAAACAGG